GUGAGAGGGAACAGAGCCCAGAACAAGGGGAAAAGGAGAGCCGAUGGAGCUAAAUUUCCUGUGUCUGAAAUGUAACCAUCAGAGAUCCUCCCCGCAGCUAAAGCUAAGUGGCAGUCUAGAAGCUAACAGAAAAGGCUUUGGCGUCUGAAGUAGAGCACUUACGCCAACUGUGAUCCACCCAGCUCCCAGCACAGCAGGAAGCUCUGAGUCUGCCCAGUUGCAGGUUCCUCUCCACUCUCCUGAAGAAACCCAGUGGAGCAAUGUGGAGGACAAUGAUAGCUGGAAAGCCCACAGAAUCAGCAUCUGGAAAUGGAAGUUGACAGCUGCACUUGUAAAAACGAAAGGAAGAUAUCCUCGGGCUUAAGAUACAGGGCAUCCUAAUAUCAGGGUUCUGUUCAUCUCCAUCCAACCUCAAACUGUUUGCCCAGUUAGCCAAUAUGUGUACAAGAGGAGACUCUCUGGAAGCCAGGG
rnacentral:lncRNA from 1 species